GACAGAGGAUGCAAGCGUUAUCCGGAAUGAUUGGGCGUAAAGCGUCUGUAGGUGGCUUUUAAGUCCGCCGUCAAAUCCCAGGGCUCAACCCUGGACAGGCGGUGGAAACUACCAAGCUGGAGUACGGUAGGGAGACUGGAAUUCCUGGUGUAGCGGUGAAUGCGCAGAUAUCAGGAGGAACACCGAUGGCGAAGGCAGGUCUCUGGCCACUACUGACGCUGAGAAGCGAAAGCAUGGAGCGAACAGG
rnacentral:rRNA from 1 species